UCCCAUCAGUUUCUUUCAUCACAAUGGCUCCUUCCCCUCCACCCCAUGCCCAUGGCAGAGGAGCAGAGCACCAAGCUCGCCUUCCUGACUGAACCAAUCCAGCCCGCCUCCCUCCCUCCCUCCCUUCCUUCCCCCAAACAAUCGAGCAUCCUCGUCCGCCGCCGCUGAGCCAAGGCCUACGGGUGAGGAAGGAUUAGAAACCCUCUCUUUCUUGGAUUUGGAGUCGAUUUUGCUCCGGUUCUUGCUCUCUGCCCGGCACGCGUGCGUUCGUCCGUUCCCUGAGGGUUUCUGCACUCGCAGAGCACUGAUCGCGGCCUCGUUUCCAUCUUGUUGGCACCUGCAAGUUGGAAGGGGGCAAGCAGGCUGGAGGCGGAGUGACAAGAGACGAAGCAGAGGUUGUUGCUGUGGCAAGUCAAAGGCUUUCUGGCAUCCAUCCUGUCAGCUGGCGACAAUGGCUCUGAUAGAUUUCAUAGAGCUGAGAGAUGAUGAUAUUGAUAUCAUUGAAUUGAGCAGCGAUGAGGACACUGUUCAAAAGGAUCAGAUUGCAGCUCAACACCGGGCGGCGUUGCUUGAUAGGCAGGGUAUGUUUUUCCCAACUGCUGAAGGAAGCCAAGGGGUGCAGGCCGUGUUUGUUGCAGCUGGUAAAGGAAGUCAAGAUGUGCAGGCCAUGUUUGUUGCAACCAGUGAAGGAAGUCAAGAUGUGCAGCCAGUGUUUGUUGCAGCUAGUGAAGGAAAGCAAGAAGCUGGUGAGCCCGGACAUGCUUUGGAAGCUACCUCAUCGUCCAUGGUUAUGGAGAAAGCACCUCCUGUUGCAGGUAGUGAAGGAAGUGAAGAUGUGCAGGCUGUGUCUGUUGCAGCUGGUGAAGGAGGGCAGGAGGCUGGUGAGUCCGGACAUGCUUUGGAAGCUACCGCACCGUCCAUGGUUAUGGAGAAAACAACUCUUGUUGCAGCUAGUGAAGGAAGCCAAGAUGUGCAGGCUGUAUUAGUUGCAGCUGGUGAAGGAGGGCAGGAGGCUGCUGAGUCUGGACAUGCCUUGGAAGCUACCACAUUGUCCUUGGUUACAGAAACACCACCUCUUGAUACGGCUAAAUCACCGUACUGUCAUCCCUCUCCAACAUCAGCGCCAUUGCCCAGCCUGACUUCCACCACUCCGAAAGCUCAGACUUUUGAAGGUGGUGACGCAAAGUCAAGGAGAGUGAAGAGGAAACGUCGUAAGAAGAACUACCAUACCGACACUCCUAGGAAAAGUCCUAGGCUUAUACAGAUGGGUGAAUGUUGUGCCAGUCCUGUGGAAGAGCCAGCAGCCGACCACAAGAGGUCUCGCAUGCUUGGGCCAGCAGAAGAAGCAACCGCCUCUACCGACUCAGCUGAAACAGUUGUCCUCGCUCUGCCACAUGCUGGAUCAACGAAUUGUCUUCGCUCUCCAACAUCAGCGACAUUCCCCAGUCUGACUUCCAUCAGUACUAAAGUUAUGACUUCUGAAGGCGGCGACGCAAAGCUGGUGAGCAGGAGGGUGAAACAUCCUGAGAGGAACUACCAUAUCUUGUCCUUGGUUAUGGAAAAACCACCUCUUGGUACGGUUGUCCUUGCUCUCCAACAUGCUGAAUCGCCGAAUUGUCCUCGCCCUCCAACAUCAGCGCCAAUCUUGUCAUUACAGCUGUGUGUUUUAUCAUGCAAACAAUCCAUAAAAAGUCCGACUUCCACCAGUCCGAAGGCUCUGUCCUCAGAAGGUGGCGACACAAAGCUGGUGAGCGGGAAGGUGAAACAUCGUAGGAAGAACUGCCAACCCUGCAAACUAACUCCUUAGACUGAAUCUUUCUAACUUCCACUGCUGUAGUUGCUCUCAUGUGUAACCACCCUUGUUGCAUCUGAAGUGCGAUCUGAGCCCGCGUUGCCCCAUCUCUCUGCAUUCAUUUAGAAUGCAAGUUGUGGGUGAUUUUGGACUUGUUUUGUCAAGUGCAUCACAGAAUUGGGUGGUAUUUUGGCGAACCUGGAAAUGGCGCGCAGCUGCUGUUACGUGGGAGCUUAGGAAACUAGUUGGGCUUCUUUGCCAUCUUGGCUCCAAGCUGAGAUAUAACCAAACCUACAGUAGAUUGAAAAUUAUGAAUGGAGCGUGAGUUUGACCUGCGCACCUGCUAAUGUUACUUGCCGUGGUUCAGAAUACAAGCUUUUGGAGCAUGAUAUUUCUGCCUUGAAAGUUCGUUUUUUUAUGGUUUUGCGAAGACUUGGAACUUCUUUUAGAAUUAUUGUCGGUUUAAUGCUAGCUAUGAAGGGAUAGUUGUAGACAUGAACAUAUGCAUCUUACAAAAACUGGAAGAGAGCGGGCAUUAGUUUGUGA